UACGUAGGGUCCGAGCGUUGUCCGGAAUUAUUGGGCGUAAAGGGCUCGUAGGCGGUCUGUUGCGUCGGGAGUGAAAACUUACAGCUUAACUGUGAGCGUGCUUUCGAUACGGGCAGACUUGAGGCAUUCAGGGGAGAACGGAAUUCCUGGUGUAGCGGUGAAAUGCGCAGAUAUCAGGAGGAACACCGGUGGCGAAGGCGGCUUUCUGGACAGUUACCGACGCUGAGGCACGAAAGCUAGGGGAGCAAACAGG
rnacentral:rRNA from 1 species